rnacentral:rRNA from 1 species
AACGAACGCUGGCGGCAUGCCUAACACAUGCAAGUCGAACGAGACCUUCGGGUCUAGUGGCGCACGGGUGCGUAACGCGUGGGAACCUGCCCUUAGGUUCGGAAUAACUCCCCGAAAGGGGUGCUAAUACCGGAUAAUGUCUUCGGACCAAAGAUUUAUCGCCUUUGGAUGGGCCCGCGUUGGAUUAGCUAGUUGGUAGGGUAAAAGCCUACCAAGGCGACGAUCCAUAGCUGGUCUGAGAGGAUGAUCAGCCACACUGGGACUGAGACACGGCCCAGACUCCUCCGGGAGGCAGCAGUGGGGAAUAUUGGACCAUGGGCGAAAGCCUGAUCCAGCAAUGCCGCGUGAGUGAUGAAGGCCUUAGGGUUGUAAAGCGCUUUUAACCGGGAUGAUAAUGACAGUACCGGGAGAAUAAGCCCCGGCUAACUCCGUG